AUCUAGAUGACGAGUCCCAAAUAGGGCGAAAUGCGCACCAUAGAU
rnacentral:hammerhead_ribozyme from 1 species